rnacentral:misc_RNA from 1 species
GAUGAAGAACGCAGCGAAAUGCGAUAAGUAAUGUGAAUUGCAGAAUUCAGUGAAUCAUCGAAUCUUUGAACGCACAUUGCGCCCCCUGGUAUUCCGGGGGGCAUGCCUGUUCGAGCGUCAUUUCACCACUCAAGCCUCGCUUGGUAUUGGGCAACGCGGUCCGCCGCGUGCCUCAAAUCGACCGGCUGGGUCUUCUGUCCCCUAAGCGUUGUGGAAACUAUUCGCUAAAGGGUGUUCGGGAGGCUACGCCGUAAAACAACCCCAUUUCUAAGGUUGACCUCGGAUCAGGUAGGGAUACCCGCUGAACUUAAGCAUAUCAAUAAGCGGAGGG